UNCUAGAAACAAGAUACCCCUACUGCAGUA
rnacentral:piRNA from 1 species